GCAACCCCUCUGUCUCCUCAUCACCAGCUCACAGUGCCAGAGUAACCCCUCUGUCUCCUCAUCACCAGCUCACAGUGCCAGCGUAACCCCUCUGUCUCCUCAAGGUAAUUUUAUCAUUUUUAAAAAAACUGUAGUGAAUUCUCGUGUUAAUAAGAAGGGUGGAUGUAAUUUUACAGGAAGAAUUAGAUCUUGGAAAGAGUAAAAUGGUUCACAGGGUAAAGGAGCUUGUAGCCAAGCCUGGCAACCCAAGUUCGAUCCCUAGAACCCCAUGGUAGGCAGAGAGAACUGAAUCCUACAAGUCAACCAUUGACCUGUGUGGGACGCGCUCUCCCUCCUCACGCACAAACUCACAAAAU
rnacentral:lncRNA from 1 species